UUUUAUUUGAGAGUUUGAUCCUGGCUCAGGAUGAACGCUGGCGGCGUGCCUAACACAUGCAAGUUGAGCGAUUUACUUCGGUAAAGAGCGGCGGACGGGUGAGUAACGCGUGGGUAACCUACCCUGUACACACGGAUAACAUACCGAAAGGUAUGCUAAUACGGGAUAAUAUAUUUGAGAGGCAUCUCUUGAAUAUCAAAGGUGAGCCAGUACAGGAUGGACCCGCGUCUGAUUAGCUAGUUGGUAAGGUAACGGCUUACCAAGGCGACGAUCAGUAGCCGACCUGAGAGGGUGAUCGGCCACAUUGGAACUGAGACACGGUCCAAACUCCUACGGGAGGCAGCAGUGGGGAAUAUUGCACAAUGGGCGAAAGCCUGAUGCAGCAACGCCGCGUGAGUGAUGAAGGCCUUCGGGUCGUAAAACUCUGUCCUCAAGGAAGAUAAUGACGGUACGUGAGGAGGAAGCCCCGGCUAACUACGUGCCAGCAGCCGCGGUAAUACGUAGGGGGCUAGCGUUAUCCGGAUUUACUGGGCGUAAAGGGUGCGUAGGCGGUCUUUCAAGUCAGGAGUGAAAGGCUACGGCUCAACCGUAGUAAGCUCUUGAAACUGGGAGACUUGAGUGCAGGAGAGGAGAGUGGAAUGCCUAGUGUAGCGGUGAAAUGCGUAGAUAUUAGGAGGAACACCAGUUGCGAAGGCGGCUCUCUGGACUGUAACUGACGCUGAGGCACGAAAGCGUGGGGAGCAAACAGGAUUAGAUACCCUG
rnacentral:rRNA from 1 species